rnacentral:rRNA from 1 species
AUUGAACGCUGGCGGCAUGCCUAACACAUGCAAGUCGAACGGCAGCACAGAGGAGCUUGCUCCUUGGGUGGCGAGUGGCGGACGGGUGAGUAAUGCAUCGGGAUCUACCCUGACGUGGGGGAUAACCUCGGGAAACCGGGACUAAUACCGCAUACGUCCUACGGGAGAAAGCGGGGGACCUUUUAGGCCUCGCGCGGCAGGACGAACCGAUGUGCGAUUAGCUAGUUGGCGGGGUAAUGGCCCACCAAGGCGACGAUCGCUAGCUGGUCUGAGAGGAUGAUCAGCCACACUGGGACUGAGACACGGCCCAGACUCCUACGGGAGGCAGCAGUGGGGAAUAUUGGACAAUGGGCGCAAGCCUGAUCCAGCAAUGCCGCGUGUGUGAAGAAGGCCUUCGGGUUGUAAAGCACUUUUAUCAGGAGCGAAAUCUGCAUGCUUAAUACGUGUGCAGUCUGACGGUACCUGAGGAAUAAGCACCGGCUAACUUCGUGCCAGCAGCCGCGGUAAUACGAAGGGUGCAAGCGUUAAUCGGAAUUACUGGGCGUAAAGGGUGCGUAGGCGGUUCGUUAAGUCUGUCGUGAAAUCCCCGGGCUCAACCUGGGAAUGGCGAUGGAUACUGGCGAGCUAGAGUGUGU